GAUGAACGCUGGCGGCGUGCCUAAUACAUGCAAGUCGAGCGAACAGACGAGGAGCUUGCUCCUCUGACGUUAGCGGCGGAAGGGUGAGUAACACGUGGAUAACCUACCUAUAAGACUUGGAUAACUUCGGGAAACCGGAGCUAAUACCGGAUAAUAUAUUGAACCGCAUGGUUCAAUAGUGAAAGACGGUUUUGCUGUCACUUAUAGAUGGAUCCGCGCCGCAUUAGCUAGUUGGUAAGGUAACGGCUUACCAAGGCAACGAUGCGUAGCGGACCUGAGAGGGGGAGCGGCCACACUGGAACUGAGACACGGUCCAGACUCCUACGGGAGGCAGCAGUAGGGAAUCUUCUGCAAUGGGCGAAAGCUUGACGGAGCAACGCCGCGCGAGUGAUGAAGGUCUUCGGAUCGUAAAACUCUGUUAUUAGGGAAGAACAAAUGUGUAAGUAACUAUGCACGUCUUGACGGUACCUAAUCAGAAAGCCACGGCUAACUACGUG
rnacentral:rRNA from 1 species